GGCUGAAAUUCGCCUUCCAUGAAGCUGGAAUUGCUAGUAAUGGCAGGUCAGCAUACUGCCGUGAAUACGUUCCCGGGCCUUGUACACACCGCCCGUCACACCAUGAGAGUUGGAAAUACCCGAAGCCUGUGAGCUAACUUAAAGAGGCAGCAGUCGAAGGUAGAGCCAAUGAUUGGGGUGAAGUCGUAACAAGGUAAC
rnacentral:rRNA from 1 species